rnacentral:rRNA from 1 species
CACGUAGGCGGAUAUUUAAGUCAGGGGUGAAAUCCCAGAGCUCAACUCUGGAACUGCCUUUGAUACUGGGUAUCUUGAGUAUGGAAGAGGUAGGUGGAAUUCCGAGUGUAGAGGUGAAAUUCGUAGAUAUUCGGAGGAACACCAGUGGCGAAGGCGGCUUACUGGUCCAUUACUGACGCUGAGGUGCGAAAGCGGUGGGGAGCAAAACA